ensembl:lncRNA
CCCUCCUGUGUUCAGUGGUACAUUGUCUUAUCUAAUGCAAGUUUAACACAUUAAAAGCCUAACUUGUCACUCAAAACAGCUUUUUAAGACAUUUGAGCACAAACUCAAACUAUUGUGGGGAUUAAAGAAACAAUAAAUGUGUCUGGAUCAUCCCAGUUUCUGUUUUUAACCUCGUUAAACCACGUUUACAUUUUCCUCUAAAGGGGCUGCAACACCCAGCUGCACAAAACCUUCACUUUUCCAACAGUUUCACUCUCUGAAUAUUUUUCAUUUCUUCCAAUCAGAAUUCUCCAAUAGAUUUGUAGAAGAAAAUUAUUUAUUCUCUGCAUCAAGACAGGUCAUAACUUUUUAACAGUCUCCCUGUCCUCAUAUUUUUAUAUAUUCUUCUGUAAUAGAUAACUAUACGCUAUCAUUGCAAUCUACACUACAGCUCAAAAGUUUGAAGUCAAUUUUCACCUGGUUUAUAACCAUGUGAUCAGUUCACACAUCAGUGUCUAAAAAACGCUAAUUUUUUAGCUGUGUCUAUCAUCAAUAAUUGAGUUGAUUGCAAACUCUCCCUAACAAGUUCACUUUAUUGCGUGCUCAUCAAUCUCCUCUACAGCCCAAAAGUUUGAAGUCAGUUAGAAACGUCUUUUUUUGUUAAAAAAAAAAACAAGAUUCUUUUUAUAUUUUGUAAAUUAGUUGUGAAUGCAAAUACAUAUUAUUGCUUAAAACUUGCAUUGAUCACCAAUUAUGAUUGAUGGUUGAUAAAAUAUUACCUGGUGUAUGGAUACAACAAUAAAGGAGGUGUAUGGAUUACAACAAUAAUAGCGAUUGUGUAGAUUAUAUUACCUAUCCUCAGUUUAUCACAUUAAAUCUCAGCCUACUGGUGACCCACCAGUUUUCAAAAUACAGCCACGCUAACCAACAUCACUUUUUCAAGUAAUAUAAAAAUCAAUUUUAUAUAUUACCUUUUUAAACAUCUGAUUUUUCUUUCUAAUGUCAUUAAAACAAGUUUGCACAUUUGUAUAACAACAGUUGGACCUCCAGAUCUUUUUAGCUUUCAGGUUUUUUUCUCAGUGUGACACAUAGAUUUGUUUCCGUCUCUUUCAAUAAGAAAGUCAAAUCUUCAAACCCUAAAGCAAUCUUUGUUUCUUUCAAUCAUUCCAAUAUUUUUCAUCUCCUGUUAAUCCGGUUGUUCAGUGAUGACGUGACGAAUCCUACUUCCGGGCCUAAAGUAGUCUGCGUUUAAUAUGGCUUUUGUGUUGUUAACAUGUUUAAUGUUUUGUAUUUUCUUCUAUUUAAUCUCAAAAAGCUCCUAAAACAGUCAGUGAUCACUGUUGACCUCCCUCGACUUUUAUUACUGCUAAUCAUUUAUUUAAGCUCAGUUUUUAAAACCUUACGAUGUAACUACAGCACAGCCCAUGCAGCAGUAUAUGAAUGACUAACCUCUAUUGUGGAUGGAUUAUCUCACUUGUUCUCCUGGCUGAAGUUUAGUCCUUUUACAGCAUCCCGCUAUGCGAUUACAUUUGUUCCUGACCACCGAGAACCCUCACGUUAACUUUUAUCGAGUGGGAAAAAAAGUUAGCUUGUUUAUGUUAUGCUAACAUAGCUGUGUCGCUAGCGGUCACGUAGCACAUCAUUAUAUACCAGCUAGCCAAACUUCAGUAACCCUACAAACGUCACUGCUGUUUAGUUUUCUGUCUUCAUUUAUGUUCGAAGUUAUAGCAGAGCUGUACGUUUGAAUUUUUUUCCAAAACCCCGCAGUCAGGACAUGCUAUAUUGUAUUUAGAUAGAAGCUAGCGAGCUAACUUCCUGCUAACUUCUAACGCCGUUAAAUGUCAUAAAUUCCAUUUUCAUGGAUGCCUGGAUGUUAAACUCAAUUGUUACACCUGGUAGAGCAGAACACUGAUCAUUUUAUUAAAGAUGAAAGACUUUAGACAGUUUUUCAACUCUCAGUAAUGCCACAGUGAUCGUUUGAUAUAUGGACCUGCAGCGGAGUUUAGGCCCAGACACGGCCAGUGACGUCAGACUGAACAACCGGAUUGCAGUUAACCAGGGCUUAGCUACUCCGAUCUACAGUGAUUUUGGGGGUGUGGAUACCUAUUUUUGUCACCGGUGCAGAGCCUUUUUCUACAAAAUUACGAACAAACUGCAUUUUUAAAAAAUUACCAUUAACAUUAAUGUAGACUGACAAGUAACUCAACAUGUGACACAGUGAUCAGUAGAGAAGAAAGAAAAUAACCCAUUUCAAAAUUUCUAGUUCAGAUCAAAAUUAUUGUUCUGAUUAAGGAAACAGUAAAUUUGGCCACGUUAUUGUUCUGAUCCUCCAAUUUUCCCUUUCCAAUGUGAAUAAAUAAAAUUCAACUUUUGUUGUUGUUUUUUUUUAAAUAAAAGCAGAUUUCUUACAGUAAGAAUCCUCCAACAACCUUUCAAAAGAAACAUUUUUUGUCUUUCCUCAAGUUUGAGACCAACUGAAUCCACAAACCUGAAGCUCCAGACCCCAAACUAACCAAAUUUAAUGUUUCCUUAAUCAGCACAGUCAUUUUUAACUCUGUGUGUUAUGUUUACUCACAGUUUUGAUGCUUGCUUCUUCGACUUGAUCCAUGAUUAGCUCUGCACCGUCGCUCUGCUGUUUUCUCCUCAUGCUUCUCCUUCAUGCGUCCUGUCCUCAAAUAUAAUCCAACCUGCCUCCUUGUUUCCUCCUUGACUUGUAUUAGCAAAAUUUCCAGGUAAAUUAAGAGAAAUCCCAAAAAGUUUUCCUGCUUCAAAAGCUCUUCCAGUUGCCUGUCUUCUUGUCCUCCUUCAAAUGUGCAUUUUUCUACA